AUGAACGCUGGCGGCGUGCCUCAUACAUGCAAGUCGAGCGCACAGACGAGGAGCUUGCUCCUCUGACGUUAGCGGCGGACGGGUGAGUAACACGUGGAUAACCUACCUAUAAGACUGGGAUAACUUCGGGAAACCGGAGCUAAUACCGGAUAAUAUAUUGAACCGCAUGGUUCAAUAGUGAAAGACGGUUUUGCUGUCACUUAUAGAUGGAUCCGCGCCGCAUUAGCUAGUUGGUAAGGUAACGGCUUACCAAGGCGACGAUGCGUAGCCGACCUGAGAGGGUGAUCGGCCACACUGGAACUGAGACACGGUCCAGACUCCUACGGGAGGCAGCAGUAGGGAAUCUUCCGCAAUGGGCGAAAGCCUUACGGAGCAACGCCGCGUGAGUGAUGAAGGUCUUCGGAUCGUAAAACUCUGUUAUUAGGGAAGAACAAAUGUGUAAGUAACUAUGCACGUCUUGACGGUACCUAAUCAGAAAGCCACGGCUAACUACGUG
rnacentral:rRNA from 1 species